UACGGGGGGGGCAAGCGUUGUUCGGAAUUACUGGGCGUAAAGGGCUCGUAGGCGGCCAACUAAGUCGGAUGUGAAAUCCCCAGGCUCAACCCGGGAACUGCGUCCGAUACUGGCAGGCUUGAAUCCGGGAGAGGGAUGCGGAAUUCCAGGUGUAGCGGUGAAAUGCGUAGAUAUCUGGAGGAACACCGGUGGCGAAGGCGGCAUCCUGGACCGGCAUUGACGCUGAGGCGCGAAAGCCAGGGAGCAAACGGGAUUAGACGUACCGGGUAGUCCAGACAACGGUCUCCAG
rnacentral:rRNA from 1 species